rnacentral:rRNA from 1 species
CGCGGCCUAUCAGCUUGUUGGCGGGGUAACGGCCCACCAAGGCAACGACGGGUAGCUGGUUUGAGAGAACGAUCAGCCACACUGGAACUGAGACACGGUCCGGACUUCUACGGAAGGCAGCAGUAGGGAAUCUUGCGCAAUGGGCGAAAGCCUGACGCAGCGACGCCGCGUGCGGGAUGACGGCCCUAGUGGUUGUAAACCGCUUUCAGCAGGGACGAAAAUGACGGUACCUGCAGAAGAAGUCCCGGCUAACUACGUGCCAGCAGCCGCGGUAAUACGUAGGGGACAAGCGUUGUCCGGAUUCAUUGGGCGUAAAGAGCUCGUAGGCGGUUCAGUAAGUUGGGUGUGAAAGCUCCGGGCUCAACCCGGAGAGGCCACUCAAUACUGCUGUGACUAGAGUCCAGUAGAGGAGCGUGGAACUCCUGGUGUAGCGGUGAAAUGCGCAGAUAUCAGGAAGAACACCGGCAGCGAAGGCGGCGCUCUGGGCUGGUACUGACGCUGAGGAGCGAAAGCAUGGGUAGCAAACAGGAUUAGAUACCCUGGUAGUCCAUGCCGUAAACGUUGGGCACUAGGUGUGGGGAGGAAUCAACCCUCUCCGUGCCGUAGCUAACGCAUUAAGUGCCCCGCCUGGGGAGUACGG